GAUGACGCAACAGAAGAACCCACUUCAACAUGACAUGUGACGUCACAAAGGAUCAAGCGAACCAUGGCGUAAAGCAAGAAAGAAGAAAAGUCAGCGAAUAAAGCUGCCGAAGAAAAGCGCAAGGUGAAGAACAAAGACGAAGACGCCAAUAAAAGAUACACGGUUUGAGGUUUGAGUAUUAUAUAGGAGUUGUGUGUUAAUUGUAUGUGUAUCUUGUCUGUGCUGCUGUAUUUUCAUUCUGCUGGGCCUAAUGUGGCCAGCUAUUUUUAGUCAGUCACUACUUUAGUGCAUUUUGCAUAUCUAUGAAAUAUAUAUGCAAUGAAACUAUGGCGAACAUCUUGCUGGAUCAGAAUUUGUUGUUGUACACUCUAUUGGGUACUUCGUCUACAAAGGUCGAAUCCUUCAGUGAUUCUGUAUUGUCCUGAUCGCUUGGUGGGAACGCUAU